ACCAGCAGCCAUAUCACCCUGAAACUCACAACUGGCAACCCACUGAAGCUAAGCAGGUCUAAGCCUGGUCAGUACCUGGAUGGGAGACCUCCUGGGAAAAACUAAGGUUGCUUCUGGAA
ensembl:rRNA 5S_rRNA 5S ribosomal RNA